GGGUGCGAGCGGGACUGCAAUCUGCAUCGGAUGGUGUCGAGGUUGCAGCGUCGUAGCCCCCUGAACAGUUCACCGAAUUGUUGUUUAUCUUUAUUGAAUGAACGGGAAUUGUCCACUUUAAACUACUUUGCAAUACAGUAAAAGACUUGGUCACAAUCAAAGCAUUUAGGAAAAUUGAAGAAAAGACAAAGGGCGCAAAUGGAACUGGAGCAACUACGGACGGAGCACGGAUAUAUUCGCUAAGCUAGUUAGCAAGCCAACUAGCCUGCUGCUAACUUGAUACAUUGGAACACGAGUAACAAUCAACUGGCUAUGACUGAUAACGAGGAAAGGACAGUCAAAUUAUAAUCUAGAAUGAAUUAUUGAGAGUCAAAUCAAAUGUUUUAGCUACGCAUUUUUUGUUACGAAAGUAUUUGCAUGGAAUGGAUGCGUUCUGUAGAAUUGCUCAACAACAAUAGUUAGCCGGCUAGCUAGCUACGGUUACUUGCAUGUUGAGUUGGGAAGCUAUCCCGUUAGCCAAAUAACGUUACGUCAUCUGUACAGUAGUUAAUAACUAGACGGUCAGGCAACUACAAUAAGGUGGAUGGACUGUCAUCUGCGUGGGGGUGUUCGUGAAGUUAACGUUAACUGGGUAGCCUAUUCCUCCUUCAGAUGUUUUGACACAGUUUAGUAUUACACGUGACAGAAGUGAACAUGGUAGUGUUAUAUGACAAUGGAUAUAGUUAGCUACCCGUUUGUUAGUACCGUAGGGAAGAAGUGACAACCGAUAUCUCAGGUACAGUUUAACGUUGGACCACAAUGCAUUAGGUCUGACGUUCUGCUUUAAAGACACAGGAAUCUCUUUGGUUUUGCUGGACAGCAUACUAACAAUAACUUUAUGACGCGGGCUCAGUCCAUUAUUUCAUUUUUGACUGACCACACAGAUCACAGUUUCCCUAAAGCGUCCACAGCCCUCAUACCAUGGCAGCGGUUGUCAACUACUCACCGCCGUGGUGGGUCAACCUGCUACACCGACUCCCUCAUUUCAACCUUCAAUUCGAACAGACGAGCAGCGAUUUUCGCCCGGAGGACUCGUCAUAUCAACAGUCCAUCCUGCUGCUGGGAGGCGUGGCUCUAGCUUGCCUGGCCCUGGACCUGCUCUUCCUGCUCUUCUACUCCUUCUGGCUGUGCUGCCGGCGGAAGAAGAGCGAGGAGCAGCCCAACGCCGACUGCUGCUGCACCGCCUGGUGUGUCAUCAUCGCCACGCUCGUCUGCAGCGCUGGCAUUGCUGUUGGUUUCUAUGGGAACGGCGAGACCUGUGACGGCGUGAACAGGCUGACGUACUCCUUGCGCCACGCCAACCGCACUGUGGCAGGAGUGCAGAAACUGGUAUCAGACGGCACGGGCUCCCUGAAGCAGACAGUGGAUGGCAGUCUGGGGCAGCUGGAGGGCCAGUAUGCCAAGCACACAGACUAUCUCUCUAUCAUCCAGAAGCUGCAGGGCCAGCUGGACGAGCUGGUGAGGCAGAUGGUGGAGAUCCCCUUCUGGGGAAACAGAGACAUCUCCCUGGAGGAGCUGGCCGUCAACAUCGAGCUCUACGACUGGUACAGGUGGCUGGGCUACUUAGGCCUGCUGCUUUUCAACAUCCUCAUCUGCCUGCUGGUGCUGUUUGGCCUCAUUCGCAACUCCAAGGGAACACUUAUUGGAGUGUGUCUUCUGGGCAUCCUGGCUCUGGUUAUUAGCUGGGCCUCCCUGGGCCUGGAGUUGGCUGUGUCUGCCACCUCCAGUGACUUCUGCGUUGCUCCAGACAUGUUCGUCACCCAAAUGACCGAACAGUAUGGAGUGCUCAAUAAAGACAUUUUGCAGUACUACAUGACAUGCAGUGUGGGCCAAACCAACCCAUUCCAACAGAAGUUGUCCGGGAGCCACAAAGCCUUAGUGGAGAUGCAGGACGACGUGUCUGAGCUGCUCCGCUCGGCCACCAGAGAGUACCCCCAAACUAAGGGGAAUCUAGAACAGAUCCAGGGGGUGCUGAACACCACAGAGAUCGGCCUGCAUCAGCUCACUGCCCUGGUGGACUGUCGAAGCCUGCACAUGGACUAUGUCCAGGCUAUAACAGGGUUGUGUUAUGAUGGACUGGAGGGCCUGAUCUACCUGGUGUUCUUCUCCUUCGUCACGGCUCUCAUGUUCAGCUCCAUCGUCUGCAGCCUACCUCACACCUGGAACAACAAGAGGAAUGAGGCGGACAGCGAGGAGGAGUCCAUGGCCCACGGAGGCAGACUGCAGAACCAUGACAACCUGUACCGCGUCCACAUGCCCAGCCUGUACAGCUGUGGCAGCAGCUACGGCAGCGAGACCAGCAUCCCUGCUGCAGCACACACCGUCAGCAACGCCCCGUCACAGAGUACAUGACCCAGAAUGCCAGUGCCUUCCAGAACCCGCGGUGUGAGAACACCCCACUGAUAGAGAGAGAGUCCCCUCCUCCCUCGUACACCUCCAGCAUGAGGGCCAAGUACCUGGCCAACAGCGGACCGGGUCCCAGUACCUCCACCCCCGUUCCUCCACAGCACCAAGAACACGACUCUGCACACCACUCACGACAGCACACUCCACACCGCCCACCACAUCACCCAGCGGCACAGCUCUAGACAACAACGGGGGCGUGACCCACCAACAGACACACCAGUGUGGAACCACCUCGCCUCUAGAACUUCUUCUCCAAUGCCCCUCAACAUCUCUGUGAUGUCAUCGCCAUCCUCAUCCAGGCUACAGUCCCCAUCUCCUUUCCUCUUCACUCUUACUAGCCCUCUCCCCCAGCAACAACUUCAAACAUCUGAGCCAAAUAUGUCUUUUGAAGUGUGCUUGAUGGCAGAGCAAAGAAAGAACGCGCAAGGCAGACGCAUCAUGUAAAUAGUUCUGUCGUCAUUACAAUGUUUUCCGUAGGCCCUUUCAUGAUGUUUCCAGAUGGCCCGUCUGGGCUGGUCCACAGCAGAGCAGAUAGCCAGUGCAGGGUGAGGGCCAGUGGGAGGUUAUUUCCAGCAUCGUGGGAUCGCUGUCAUCUGCUUCAUGGGCUGCUAGUGGACUGACUGAGUUGGUGGCCCUUGUUCCCCUGCUACCACAGCCUCGCCUCAGUGCUGGGCCAUCCUCGUGGCCCAGGGACAAUACAGACUAAUGAGGCAACUGGCCUCCAGCUCUUCAUAAACGAUCUCUGCUCCUUUUCCUCCUCCUCUGCUCAGCCCACCAAAUAUCAUCUUGAACGGAGUGAUAAUGUCUUAUGUGAGGAUAUGUUGCUCAAACAGCAUAUUUUGGUCUUACUUGUCUGCCACUUUUUCCCUGUAUUUGAUAUUGUAUGAAGGAGAUAUCCACAAUCAAAUGGUCUCCGUGUUAACCACUGCAAAAACCACUGGUUAUGGUGCUGUGAAGGAGAGAACACCUGAUGAGAUAAUGAAACUAAACUGCCAUUGCUUUGGUGAGGACUGAGACAGUUAUGGGAAUAUCUAGCACUGAUAACUAUUGAUAGUGAUUUUGUUCAAUAUGUUGCUAUGUACUGUACUAUCUCUCUCAUUGCUGGAGGAGAUGUUGAGCAAUACCUUACACAGAGAGCUGUGGAAAGGCCUAGAAACUGCUGUUCCCUCACACCCUUUUACAGAACUAGACCUCUGUCAUGGCAAGUUGGGAUCCAUGCACGGUUCCUCCAAAGGUUGGAUGUACCUCCACAAUACUAUGGCCAUGAUAUGUCUGAAAGACAAACACCAGUGUUUCUCAAGCAUUCCGUGUGAGUGUUCUUCAUAAUAGUGGAACAUCUCAGUUCCUCAUGUAAUCCUGUUAUCUGGAGGACUUGCAACACGACCAGUAGAACACCGGAUCGAGGAAAGGGCAUUAACAUCAGUGGUAUUAUCGCGUCUCUCAAUCCAUGUGUCUGACGAGAUCACAUUGACAUAUCAUUACUACUGUCUAACAAGCUGAGAGACUACUGAUUACUCAUCUAUGUAGCCAUCAGCUUGUUAUUGCAUUUGUCUGUACAAACAGACUGUGAGUGGGACCAGUUAUCUUAUUUCACCAUGUCUUAUAGCAGUAGGUCUAUGACUGGAAAAGACUGGGAUCUCUUAACUCUUACAUUAGUCCUGACCUGCAUGUUUGUGGCUGUUGUCCCCCCCCCUCCCCCAGGGGGAGUGAUACAGUAUGCCACUAUUCCUGGAAAAUGACUGAAGCUACAUGGAUUUUGAACUGGAGAGUUUUGCUGUGAAAACGAGUUUAUUUUCGAUUCCGGCGUCUGCUUUCGGAUGAUGUGAACUGAAAAGACGGAUGAAGCUCACUGAAGACGAGGAGCUGUGAACGGUGGGACCCGCUGUCUUCUCAUCAAUACCACAGACUGCUGUUAUCAGAACUGUAAUUCUCAUUACAUUGAAGAGUUUUGGUCAAUUGAGGAUAUGCUCAACAAAAUGUUCACACUUCUAUGGGAAGGUUUUGUUCUCAAACGGAAGACUAUUCAGACGACAGACAGAUAUGAGGACUGGUUCCAGGUUGCUGAGAGACUAAACAAAAGAGGAGUUUUCCUCCACCAUUAUAAGACUCAUUUAAUAGAUCAUUUGCAGUGCUCUUCUGUUAGCCAGGUAUCUUGUGCUGGUGUUGGUGUUCGUCUGCGUACAGUGGUCGGUGUGUUUGCUUGCCAGUCUCCUGUCCUCCCAACAGAUCUCUGACCGCCUCGCACAGUUCUCCUCUGCUGAACCCUAUGGAUAUAGUCCGAGUUACAUCCAGUGUCUGGAGGCUGUGUACAUGAAUUAGUAUGUAUUUCUUCUAAAGAGGGGUAGAAUACAUGUAUUCUAGUGUACAAUUAUGCAUGUUACAACAGCCAAGAGAACUGGACAUCCUUAAUGCGCCAGCAUUUCAUUGUCACAAAGAUGUGUUUUGGCGUAAAGAACUAUUUUGGGGAGAAAAAAAUGAAACUGCAGGAGUUGUUUCACAAUGGGUAAAUUGAAGAAAUGCUGUAGUGACACGGGUUCAUUUGUACCAUUUACCUUUUCAGCAAGAGCAUCCUACAUCUCUGUGGACUCCUAAAGCAUGGUGCCCCUUCAAACGUAGAGUGAAAUAUUGUUGUACGUUGUUUCUACCGACGCUUCUCUUGGCGCCCCUUCGUUCUGCAUUGUAAUCAAUAUGAGAGGUGUGGUUCUUUCUUCAGUCUGUGCCAAUAACCAAACACAACACCUUACCUUUACUAGGAUCUUUUUAAAUGUCUCACGUAGGCCUGUUUGUACAGUUCACAGCACUUUGGUUGCCUGAGCAACCAAAUUAGGAAAAUGAGCCCUACAUUUUGAACUGAAAAUGUCUUGUUCUUUUAUUCUCUGUGUGAAAGACCAUUUGUUAUAGUAACGAUGCAUUUUUACCGUUUUAGAGUAGUCAUAUUAUCUUUGUUAAUAUUGUAAUGCUAGACCAAUGUACAGACUUUAAAGGGAUACUUCAGGGUUUUGGCUAUUAAGCCCUUUAUCUACUUCCCCAGCGUCUGAUGGUUUAAUAGACCACCGUCUCUGCAUCCAGUAUGAGGUAGAUCUGCGAGCCAAUGCUAACUAGCGAUAGCUGAAUGAGUGGAAGUGUGUGGUAUCUACUAGCAAAUGCGCUGACACUAGUUAGCAACUUCCUUCAAACUGCACACAGAGACAUAAAAAUGGUAUCCACGAGUUCACCUGACUCUGGAGAAGUAGAUAACGGGCCUUAAUUGACAAUAUCCCUUUAAAACAUGUUUGCUAAAUGAGCUGGUGAAGUUGACAUUUCCUUUGUCAUUGUGAUGAAAUCUCUUUUUGCUUCAUACAAAAAAAAGUAAUUUACCAUUGAUUCUUUUUAGUGUUCAUUGCAUAUAUUACGAUGUGUAGCAAGCAGAAAAUGUGUGUUUCUUUUAUGUGAAUACGAUAUAAUUUGUCUUUCAUUGCUUUGUUUUGAUAACAUUUCCCUGUAGAUUUACUCAUUUGUUUUUAUAUUAUUUUAAAGCAAUUACUAAAAUAUUGUACAUGUUAAACCUGUGGUUUUAUUGAGCUUGAACUAUUGAAAUUAAACCAACCUUAACUGUU